CAAUGAUAGUUGCGAUACAAAAUAACAUAAAAGUCUUGGAAAAAAAUAAACAAUUCAGCGUACUAACAACAUAAAGCUAAGUUUCGAAAAGAAGAUCAUAAAGAUCAUAGCAUCAGAAUCUUAAAAGUUAAACAUAUUUAUGUAUAGUAUAUAGAUAUAUUGAAGAUUUUACAUAAUGCAAAGAUACAACAUACAAACAUUUUAAUAUAUAAUAUCCUGAAGAUUUAACAAAUACUUUUUACAUACGUUUUUAGUAGAAUUUAGAAUGCUGCACAUAAAAAAAAUAUUUUAAGAAUUAGUUUUAAAUACAGGAAGUGUAAAAGAAGGACCAAAAUUUGGUAGUAUUUUGUUUCAAAGAUGAGGUGCAAGAUUUUGAGAUUUAACAAUCUCAAAUUAAAAUAUUUAAACAACAAACAAAGUGAUAUGAAUACCACUAGCUUAUUUUGAACCUGAUAAUCCCACAUCAUAAGUUAUAUUAAUAAUUGUACAAGCAAUAAUUUAACUUUUAACUGAUUUUAAGAGCACAGUUUUAAUUUAAACUUUAUGUUCAAUCCUUUAACGUUAUUUUUCAUCUUUCUAUCCAUUUUUUUUAACUAAUUAAAAUUUGAAUUUAUUUAAUUUUUCUAUUUUCUUAUCAGUUAAGUUGACAAUUACAAAUUAUUUUUAUUCAGUGAAUACUUGUGUUUUUAUAGUGUCUAAAAUGUUAUUGUUACUAAUAAGUUAUUUUGCAAUAUUUAAUUUUUGAAUCUUUAUUAGUAUUGAAAGUUACUUACUGCAGUAAUUUUAUGCAGUAAUUAUAUGUUUAGAGAACAUGGGUAACUAGAGUAACCAUAUGUUUAGUGAACAUGGAUUCAGUUGCGUAAAUCAGUGUUCUUCACAUCAAGCUUUUGAAAUUCAUCUUUUCGACCCUUGGUAUUUGAACCAAAAACACGAAUCAAAUUAUCUCCUGCAACAUUUUAGACAAGCGCAUUGGGAUUAACUUCAAUUAACAAAGGAUUGUCAUUACAACCAAAUCGCACUCGUUGCUUAUCAAAGUAUUCCUCUAACGGAUCUUGACAGAACUUUUUGGACAGAAUUUAUUCGACUCCUUCUACAAGCAAAAACUUUCCAACUCAAGUAAUUAAUCGAAAUAUAUUAACACGGAAUAUGA